rnacentral:rRNA from 1 species
GAUCCUGGCUCAGGACGAACGCUGGCGGCGUGCCUAAUACAUGCAAGUCGAGCGAACCAAUAAGAAGCUUGCUUUUUGUUGGUUAGCGGCGGACGGGUGAGUAACACGUGGGUAACCUGCCUGUAAGAUCGGGAUAACUCCGGGAAACCGGUGCUAAUACCGGAUAGAUUAUCUUUCCACCUGGAGAGAUAAGGAAAGAUGGCUUUUGCCAUCACUUACAGAUGGGCCCGCGGCGCAUUAGCUAGUUGGUG